GCGCCGAUGGUUUAGUGGUAAAAUUCUCCGUUGCCAUCUUGCAGCGUCGGGGAGCCGGGGGUUCGAUUCCCCCUCGGCGCA
rnacentral:tRNA from 1 species